UGUAACUGUAAGAAAUCUAAGUGCCUGAAGCUAUAUUGUGAAUGCUUUGCUGCUGGCGUGUACUGCAUUGAGCCAUGUUCAUGUCAAGGCUGCUUCAACAAACCGAUACAUGAAGCUGUGGUUCUUGAGACUCGCAGACAGAUUGAAUCUCGCAAUCCACUUGCAUUUGCUCCAAAAGUAAUUCGCACAACUGAGACUGUUCAGG
rnacentral:misc_RNA from 1 species